ACACGACUACAUUAGAUACCCGUGUAGUCCUAGCCGUAAAUGAUGCGAGUUAAGUNUGGGGGCAUCUACGAGAUGGCCCUGUGCUGUAGGGUAGCCGUUAAACUCGCUGCCUGGGAGUACGGUCGCAAGGCUGAAACUUAAGGAAUUGCGGGGAGCACCACAAGAGGUGGAGGCUGCGGUUCAAUUGGACUCAACGCCGGAAAACUCAUCGGGAGCGACAGCAGUAUGAUUGCCAGGUUGAUGACCUUGCUUGACAAGCUG
rnacentral:rRNA from 1 species